AUGAAAUCCUUGAGUGUUUCACUAGUGGUCCUGUGGCUUCAGCUAAAGUGGGUGGACAGCCAGCAGAAGGUGCAGCAAAGCCCAGAAUCUGUGAUUGUCCCAGAGGGAGCCAUGACCUCUCUCAACUGCACUUUCAGCAGCAGUUCCUCUUACUCCUUCUGGUGGUACCAACUGCAUCCUGGGAAGGCCCUCAAGGUGCUGAUGUCCAUAGUCUCUGAUGGUGAAAAGAAAGAAGGCAGAUUCACAAUUCACCUCAAUAAAGCCAGCCUGCAUGUUUCCCUGCACAUCAGAGACUCCCAGACUGAUGACUCUGCUCUCUACUUCUGUGCAGUGAGCACACAGUGCUCCCCAGGCACCUGCAGCCUGCACACAAACCUACUGCACAGCAUCAAGCCCUGA